GUAAGACUUCUCAUGUAAUUUAAAGAGCAUAAAUUACAUCUUCUGACUGAAAAAUAACCCUUCUCUCUUGUAGAAUGUGUAUCCAUGGAGUGAUACACCAUCCUCCCACCCUGCAAUGUGAACCUUCAUGAGCAGUAAAAGACCGGUCUUCACCUUGAAAAGGCUCUCGUUUUUUACCUUUUUUUUUUAAUAGAAUUAAGUAUAUUUUCAUUUCUCAGGGAGAAUGAAUGGAGUUUAGAUUCAGAACAAACAUGAGGUAUCAUGGUUGCGCAAUCCCCUUUUUCACAAGAACAUCAUAAACUCGGUCAAUUUUGCUGGCUUCAAGCUUGAAUAAGGGAUGAGCAUCAGAUUUCUUAGUGACAUUGCCACUGAAGAUUUCUUUUGUCAUAACCUCCUGCAUCUUAAGAUAGAGAGGUGGGGGCAACUUUAUCUCAUGACAGAGGCGUUUCUCAGCUUCAGAUAGUAAUUGUGUUUCAUAAAAGCCCAGUGCAUCCAUAUCAUUAACAUAGUGUCCAGCAGGUCUCGUAGUUGAAUCCUUGCCGACAGACUCUGAAGCCAUGAAAACGCUUGGACCUCCCUGGUUGCUUGGACCAACCUGGACACUUUCUUUUGCUCUGUGAGAACUUUCUUCAGCUUCCCUUUUCCUUUUCUCUUCAAGAUAUUUAUCCGCCUCGGCAGANNNUGUACGACAACCAGCAGCUCGGGCUUCCUUAAGUUCUUGAAUCCUUUUCAGAGUUCUAUGCUCUGCUAUAACAGUCUGAAGCAAAUCUUCAUGUUCUUCCUUGGAAUGAAAACGCAUGAAGACAUCAUAACGUCGGCAUAGCGCCCUCUCCUCUGGAGAUAAAUCCUUCUCAAAACGAUUUGGAUAUAGCAAAUUUCUUUCUAAAAUAAAAUCUUUUCUGCGUUUUCUUUCAUCAAGCCUCUUUGAAUAGAUACGUAGAACUCGCA
rnacentral:misc_RNA from 1 species